GUGCCAGCCGCCGCGGUGAUACGGAGGGUGCAAGCGUUGUCCGGAAUCACUGGGCGUCACGGGUGCGCAGGCGGUGCAGCAAGUCGGAGGCGAAAGCCCGUGGCUCAACCACGGAAGUGCCUUCGAAACUGUUGCUCUUGAGUCCCGGAGAGGUUGCCGGAAUUCGUGGUGUAGCGGUGAAAUGCGUAGAUAUCACGAGGAACACCAGAGGCGAAAGCGGGCAACUGGACGGGUACUGACGCUCAGGCACGAAAGCGCGGGGAGCAAACAGGAUUAGAAACCCCAGUAGUCC
rnacentral:rRNA from 1 species